rnacentral:sRNA from 1 species
AGAAAAGUAGGUGCCGCCCCGCACAGGGGCGACGCUUGAAGCGAGCUAACGAAUCGCGGAUGCCAGCGCAAAAGCAAAGGUAAAUGGACAGAGGCAGCGCAUAACCAUAAGAAGCCAUAACGCGCAUGCGAGCCCGUA